UCCGACGUGUGCUCUUCUGACACAUUUCAUACCCUCCCAGCUAUGUCCCCUUCCAGCCCUGGCUGCACGUCUGCUUCCAUUCUGUUCGGACACACCUGC